AGGGGAAGUGGGGAAUAGAAAUGGAGGAAAGAGAGGAAAAGCGGUGGAGGGGUGGAGAGGGGGGUGGAGAGAGGAGAAGAGGUGGAGGUAUUGAGAGAGGGGUGGAGAGAGGAGAAGAGGUGGAGGGAUUGAGAGAGGGGUGGAGAGAGGAGAAGAGGUGGAGGGAUUGAGAGAGGGGUGGAGAGAGGAGAAGAGGUGGAGGGAUUGAGAGAGGGGUGGAGAGAGGAGAAGAGGUGGAGGGGUGGAGAGAGGGGUGGAGAGAGGGAGGACAGAGAGGAGAAGAGGUGGAGGGGUGGAGAGAGGGGUGGAGAGAGGAGAAGAGGUGGAGGGAUUGAGAGAGGGGUGGAGAGAGGAGAAGAGGUGGAGGGGUGGAGAGAGGGGUGGAGAGAGGGAGGACAGAGAGGAGAAGAGGUGGGGGGGGGGAGAGAGGGGUGGAGAGAGGGAGGACAGAGAGGAGAAGAGGUGGGGGGGUGGAGAGAGGGAGGACAGAGAGGAGAAGAGGUGGGGGGGUGGAGAGAGGGGUGGAGAGAGGGAGGACAGAGAGGAGAAGAGGUGGAGGGGUGGAGAGAGGGGUGGAGAGAGGGAGGACAGAGAGGA